AGAAGCACCACAAGGCACCAUCAUUAAAGUCACCAUCUGGCAUAACUGGAAAUGUCAGCAAAUAGGGAGUGCAUAUUGAUGGGCAUACUACUGUUUACGCCUUUUAACUGAUGCUGAUAGUAUCUCACCUUGAGCAAACUAAAUCUUGUUCAUCAGACAUGCAGAAGCAGCCAAGACAUUAAUGUACCAAGGCACUUCUCAACCAAUAGAGGAAAGAAGUUUGUCAUCGUCAAUCCACAGAUACAUCACUGUGACAAGCAUCCUUUAUGCUCAGAAAGUUCCAGGGAGAAUCAAGCCUAAGUUCAGUACAGUUGCCUCAGUAAUAUACCCUACUUUUCCUUCUUCCUUUGUUCCUCUUCAUCCCUCAUUCCUGCUUUCUGGGAUUACCACACAAAUAGACUACCUAAACACAA